ACCUUCCUGGUCUAGUGGAAGAUGUGCCUGUUCCUGGCAGGGGGUGGAAUGAGAUGGGCUUUAAGGUCAUUCCAACCAAAUUCUACAAGUGUGGGGUCUCUCUGGACUUAACAACAUCUAGUUUGUAGCUCUUAGAGGCUGUUUUUCCUUUUCACCUGGUGAGGUUUAUGGCAAAAGCUGAUUGGAUUUGUCUGCAGCUCCCAAAAUCUAAGGAAGAGGCAGAAUAAUAUUUUCAUUCAGGAGCAUGUAUUAAAUCCAGAAUUCAUGAUAGUACCAUCUAGUCCAAUCCAAACAGGGAUAAAUACCCACGGAAGGAAGAAGUGAGGCAGAGCUAAAGCAGAGGUCCAGGGAACUGAAGACACGGGACCAGGUAGUGGUGGGAUCAGGAGAAGCAGCCUGUGCCAGCCCUUGGAGCAGGGACAGCCCCUGCAGCAGCUCCAGCUGCACCCCCUGAUGGAUCCCAGCAGGCAGAGUCAAUGACUGACACACGUGCUGGGGACCAGCUGGACCCUUAAGCACCCAGGACCAUGGAAUCACAGAAUCAUGGAAUGGCUUGGGUGGGAAGGGAAUUCAAAGCCCAGUGUCACCCUCUGCCACGACAGGACACCUCCCACUAGCCCAGGCUGGUCCAAGCCCUGUCCCACCUGGCCUGGACACUUCCAAGGAUGGGAAGGAGCAUUGAAACAUUGGGGCGGAAGAGCAGAGCAGCCAAGGAGCCUCAAGCACAGGCUCAGUGAGAGGGACAAUAGCUGAGUGGAGCUUCUUCCUGGGAAGUCCUCUUAGAAAUGGAGAAAACAAACACCAGUGCAGUCGUCUGAAGAAACCUUUCCCACAGGAUGAGGCGCCAACGCUUCCUCCUGUCUGUCCUGCAGAGUGAAAAGUGAACAGUGUGAUUUCCUGAGGGACAUUGCCAUCCAUGGAGAGGUUGUGUCAGCCUUGAACAAUUCCUGCUCUAGCAUCUGCAUGGCCAACAAAGCCCAUGUGAUGUCAGAAAGUGAUCCCAUUGUAGACUCUGCUGUGUAACAACAAAAUAUAUAACAGAUCAAAGAGAUUUUAUAAGCUUUGUAGCAACAAAAUAUAUGACACAUUAAAGAGAUUUUAUAAGCUUCACUCGAACUUCUAAGUUUUAUAAAGUAAGUUCUCCCAUCCUCUGCCCAAUUGUUUUGCUCUGACAAGUUACAUUUUCCUGCAGUCAUAUUCCAGUAUUUUAACCUGAAACU